rnacentral:rRNA from 1 species
GGAUUAGAUACCCUGGUAGUCCACGCUGUAAACGAUGAUAACUCGCUGUUGGCGAUAUACUGUCAGCGGCCAAGCGAAAGCGUUAAGUUAUCCACCUGGGGAGUACGAUCGCAAGGUUGAAACUCAAAGGAAUUGACGGGGGCCCGCACAAGCGGUGGAGCAUGUGGUUUAAUUCGAUGAUACGCGAGGAACCUUACCUGGGCUUAAAUGCAGAACGACCGGCUGGGAAACCAGCCUUUCUUCGGACGGUCUGCAAGGUGCUGCAUGGCUGUCGUCAGCUCGUGCUG